AACAAAAAAGAUCAAGUAGUAGCAUUACCAUGUGAAGCAAAAAAGGGGAAGUUACAAAUUUGACCACUCAGCCACAAAUAUUUACAUCCGCAAGCCAUUACACAUAUAUUAUGGGUAUACAUAUUUUUAAAAAUAUUUUGACAAAUCUUCUUGUAGAUCAAUUUUGGAGAAAAGAUCCAAAAUAGUUCCUUAUGUUUGGCUUCAGACUCAAGGUCAUCCCUUCCCUUUCUUUUAUAUGGUGCACUAAUAGUCCUUUAAGUUUCAAGUAUUAGUGCACUUUUAAUCUCUUCAUUAACAUCCAUUUACUCAUUAACGUUUUGAUCCUUUACACAUCCAUUUAUGGCCUCCGCUGUAUACGUUCUGGUAUAACACAAAUUAAUUCUUAGAUUUAUCUUAGCAGUUGCAGAUGAGUCUUCAUUUGUACUUGUUUUAUUUUUUGGCUCUGCAUCUUUCAUUGUUUGGUGUGCACCAUUCAAGAUUUGCUAAUUCUUUAACUUUCUCCUCUAUUUUCCAUACGCAAUUAAUAAGCUGACUAUAAGUCUUUGGGUUUUCCUGAAUAAAAGCUGACUAUAUAUCUGAAACAUAACCAAAGAAUAAAAUAAAAACAAGAAAAAAGGAAAAAUAUAAUACAUACUUAGUCUUCGUGUAUCAAUAUCUCAAAUUAGCAUCGGAUAAAAGUGCACUAAUACUUAAAACUUUGGAGGACUAUUAGUGCACCAAUUGAUGAUUUCGAAUCUAAAGCCAAAAAUAAAGGACUAUCUUGUAUUUUUUCUUUCGAUUUGGGCUGAUAUGGUUUGGACGGAUCAAUAAUCAGCCAAAUAGAGUCAAUAAGAGGAGACUAGUAAAGAAGUAGUCAUGCGGUUUUCUAGUCUUUUCAUUAACUAGUCAAUAAUUAUUUUUAAAGCUACAUAUCAAGUUAGCAUAUAGAGCAAUUUUGCAGGUAAUUUAAGGAUUAAGGAGCAUGAAACAGUAAUUACCCUUUUCUACUAAUAUCAAUCUACAAAUCCUUGGAAAUGGAACAAUUUUAACUUGCCCAAUAUUGAAAUGUAAAAGAUGGAAAGAAAUAAAAAGAAUUAGCAUAAACAGAAACAAUGACAGCAAAACCCUAUAUCCAUCCCCAAAUAGCACAAAUUCAGAUUCAGAUUCAGAUUCAAAUUCAAAAAAAUAAUCAGAAAUCUAACCUUAUAAGCUGAUGAAGAAGAAGUGCCGCAAUUACGACAAGGUAAAAAUGGAAAAAGAGAUUGGAUUGAUUGAGUGGUGUUGUAGAAAUACCUCCAACAGUUGACUACUUCCUCACUUUCCUACACUUCUUUUGUCAUUUUAGUUUAUAUAACUCCCCUUAAUUCCUUUUAUCCAAGUUUUUAAUACCAAGGGAUAUGAUGGAGUAAUAAGUACUUAUUCAUUGUUAAUUAGAGGUCUUGGAUUUGAAUCUUUU
rnacentral:lncRNA from 1 species